rnacentral:lncRNA from 1 species
CGCAACUUUUGCGCUCGCCCACAGAGAGAAGAGACAAGAGCCGGCAGUGUCACAAAAAGUGGCGGACCAACACCCCGCGGCUCUUGCCGAAAGAGCCUGUUGGGGCAACAAAAUCGACCCUGGCCUCGGGCACGCCUUUGUCGGCAUCGACCUGAAUCCCGAGUAUGUGCCCCUGGCGCACGCAAGAAUCGCCUCUGCGCUCGAUCCGCCGCCGUCGUCAUCGCCUUCAAAAAGUGGACCGUCACCAUCGUCGCCGCUGCCGCCGCCAGAUGUCUUUGGAUGACGCGCUCUCGCUCCCGCCGUCUAUGGUCCCUAAUCGCACAAGAGGACACCCCGC